rnacentral:rRNA from 1 species
GAUGAACGCUAGCGACAGGCUUAACACAUGCAAGUCGAGGGGCAGCGGGGGAGUAGCAAUACUCCCGCCGGCGACCGGCGCACGGGUGAGUAACACGUAUGAAACCUGCCCGUAGCAGGGGGAUAAGCGGAAGAAAUUCCGUCUAAUACCGCGUAACAACCCAUGGAGGCAUCUCCGUGGGUUUAAAGGAAGCGAUUCCGGCUACGGAUGGUCAUGCGUCGCAUUAGCUAGUUGGCGGGGUAACGGCCCACCAAGGCGACGAUACAUAGGGGGACUGAGAGGUUAACCCCCCACAUUGGUACUGAGACACGGACCAA